GAGAAUAUGCAAGACCUUUUCUUUGUUGUGCAUGGUGUUGUACACCCAGCUACUUUCUCAAAGCUGAGACAGGAGGAUCACUUGAGCCCAGGAGGUUAGGGUCAGCCUGGGGAAUCCUCUAAAACAAACAAACAAACAAACAACAUUAACAACAUUAACAAGAACCUUAACAAAAUUGUAGACAUGUGAAAUCCCAACACUCAAAACUGAAGCAAGGUAACUGUGAAUUCAGAGACACCCUGGCACAAUAGGCACACGCACGCGCACACACACACACAUACCCACAUACACAAACACCACAUACAAUACACACACACACCACACCACACACACACACACACACACCAUACAUACACAAACACCACAUACAACGCACACACAUACACACCACACAUACACAUAAACACACAUACCCCACAUACACAAACACCACAUACAAUACACACACAUACACACCACACAUACACACACACACACAUACCCCACAUACACAAACACCACAUACAAUAUACACACACACCACACCACACACACCACACAUACACAAACACCACAUAAAAUACACACACACCACACCACACACACCACACAUACACACUACACCCCCCCACACCCACACCUACACACUCCACACCACACACCACACACAACACACAUACAAACCACACACACACACACACCCCAUACAUAUACAAACACCACAUACAACGCACACACAUACACACCACACAUACACACACACAUACCAUUCACACCCACUGCCCUUCCCUCCCAUCCCCCAUAAUUUAAAGAGUAGCUAAGGGACUGGAUCAAUGGCUCAGUGAUUUACAACACUGGCUACUUACUCUUUCAGAGGACUGGAGUCAGAGCAGGUGGCACACCAAAACAAGCCCAUACCUUACCAUCUGUUAGGAUAAUUUAUUUCUGCUCUAGACUUCCUGGUGGUCUAGCCUUCUCUCUAGCUCAGCAAAGCUGGAGGGCCAGCUCAGCCCAGAAGCCAAAUGCUGACUGCUUCACUCAAGAAAGAAGACCCUUACAGAGGACUAAUGGGAUUUUUUUCCAGGAAGUUUUAUAGCCUUGCCACAGUUUCCUGGAACACCUGGGAGCUUUGCUGUUGCUAUGGAG
rnacentral:lncRNA from 1 species